GACGAACGCUGGCGGCGUGCUUAACACAUGCAAGUCGGACGGAAAGGCCCUGCUUUUGUGGGGUGCUCGAGUGGCGAACGGGUGAGUAACACGUGAGUAACCUGCCCUUGACUUUGGGAUAACUUCAGGAAACUGGGGCUAAUACCGGAUAGGAGCUCCUGCUGCAUGGUGGGGGUUGGAAAGUUUCGGCGGUUGGGGAUGGACUCGCGGCUUAUCAGCUUGUUGGUGGGGUAGUGGCUUACCAAGGCUUUGACGGGUAGCCGGCCUGAGAGGGUGACCGGCCACAUUGGGACUGAGAUACGGCCCAGACUCCUACGGGAGGCAGCAGUGGGGAAUAUUGCACAAUGGGCGGAAGCCUGACGCAGCAACGCCGCGUGCGGGAUGACGGCCUUCGGGUUGUAAACCGCUUUCGCCUGUGACGAAGCGUGAGUGACGGUAAUGGGUAAAGAAGCACCGGCUAACUACGUG
rnacentral:rRNA from 1 species